UGGGGAAUAUUGGGCAAUGGACGCAAGUCUGACCCAGCAACGCCGCGUGAAGGAAGAAGGCUUUCGGGUUGUAAACUUCUUUUGUCAGGGAAGAGCAGAAGACGGUACCUGACGAAUAAGCCACGGCUAACUACGUGCCAGCAGCCGCGGUAAUACGUAGGUGGCAAGCGUUGUCUGGAUUUACUGGGUGUAAAGGGCGUGCAGCCGGGCCGGCAAGUCAGAUGUGAAAUCCACGGGCUUAACCCGUGAACUGCAUUUGAAACUGUUGGUCUUGAGUAUCGGAGAGGUAAUCGGAAUUCCUUGUGUAGCGGUGAAAUGCGUAGAUAUAAGGAAGAACACCAGUGGCGAAGGCGGAUUACUGGACGACAACUGACGGUGAGGCGCGAAAGCGUGGGGAGCAAACAGGAUUAGAUACCCUGGUAGUCCACGCUGUAAACGAUGGAUACUAGGUGUGCGGGGACUGACCCCCUGCGUGCCGCAGUUAACACAAUAAGUAUCCCACCUGGGGAGUACGAUCGCAAGGUUGAAACUCAAAGGAAUUGACGGGGGCCCGCACAAGCGGUGGAUUAUGUGGUUUAAUUCGAAGCAACGCGAAGAACCUUACCAGGACUUGACAUCCUACUAACGAAGUAGAGAUACAUCAGGUGCCCUUCGGGGAAAGUAGAGACAGGUGGUGCAUGGUUGUCGUCAGCUCGUGUCGUGAGAUGUUGGGUUAAGUCCCGCAACGAGCGCAACCCCUAUUGUUAGUUGCUACGCAAGAGCACUCUAGCGAGACUGCCGUUGACAAAACGGAGGAAGGUGGGGACGACGUCAAAUCAUCAUGCCCCUUAUGUCCUGGGCUACACACGUAAUACAAUGGCGGUCAACAGAGGGAUGCAAAGCCGCGAGGCAGAGCGAACCCCUAAAAGCCGUCCCAGUUCGGAUCGCAGGCUGCAACCCGCCUGCGUGAAGUCGGAAUCGCUAGUAAUCGCGGAUCAGCAUGCCGCGGUGAAUACGUUCCC
rnacentral:rRNA from 1 species